rnacentral:rRNA from 1 species
AGCAGCCGCGGUAAUUCCAGCUCCAAUAGCGUAUAUUAAAGUUGUUGCAGUUAAAAAGCUCGUAGUUGAAUUUCGGGAUCAAGUCGUCGGUCGUGCCUCGGUACGCACUGGUGACAUUGGUUUCUCCCUUCUGAAGAACCUUGAUGUCAUUAAUUUGGUGUCUUGGGGAAUCAGGACUGUUACUUUGAAAAAAUUAGAGUGUUUAAAGCAGGCUCACGCUUGAAUACAUUAGCAUGGAAUAAUGAAAUAGGACGUUUGAUUCUAUUUUGUUGGUUUCUAGGAUCGACGUAAUGAUUAAUAGGGAUAGUUGGGGGCAUUAGUAUUCAAUUGUCAGAGGUGAAAUUCUUGGAUUUAUUGAAGACUAACUACUGCGAAAGCAUUUGCCAAGGAUGUUUUCAUUAAUCAAGAACGAAAGUUAGGGGAUCGAAGACGAUCAGAUACCGUCGUAGUCUUAACCAUAAACUAUGCCGACUAGGGAUCGGAUGAUGUUAAUUUUAAUGACUCAUUCGGCGCCUUACGG